GCUCCUGGGGGGCGGUGGAUGGCAGCGGCAGUGCCCCCGCUUCCGCUGUUUUCCCCGCCCGCUGCUUGGGGCCUCGGCCGGCUCUCCGGCUCCCACCUGCGCGGUGGCCGCUGGCUGAGGCGCUUAGGCCGCGCGGCUCCGACUGGAAGCUUUUCCCGGCCCUCGGGCAGGCAGGGCUGCGUCCUCUCGGCCGGCCCGGCGGCCGGCGGUCCUUCCUGGCGUUUCGCAAGCUGCCCCGAGAGGGCGGGAGGCCGGAGUACGGGCUUAUCGACGGCAGCCGUGUUAGCCGAGCGCUGUUAUCAGGAUCAGCCCCUAGAAGAAGUGCUUGUGGACUGCUGGGCUGCUAGGAAGUACGCAUGGUUUGUGUGCUUACUCCUGUGUGCCAUGAUUCACUAAGCCCCCCAGGAUGACUUAUGUGCAUGGGACACAGAACAAGAGAUAUGCAGUGGAAUUGCUCACCACCCGUCAUCCAAAGCCGAACCUGUUGCUGAGCAGCAGCAUCUCC
rnacentral:lncRNA from 1 species